rnacentral:rRNA from 1 species
GACGAACGCUGGCGGCGUGCCUAACACAUGCAAGUCGAACGGGGAGUUACUUGUAAUUCCUAGUGGCGAACGGGUGAGUAACGCGUAGACAACCUGCCUCUAAAUUGGGGACAACACCGCGAAAGUGGUGCUAAUACCGAAUGUGGUAACUUGAUCGCAUGAUCGAGUUAAGAAAGAUGGCCGCUAUUUAUAAGCUAUCGAUUAGAGAUGGGUCUGCGUCUGAUUAGCUAGUUGGUGAGGUAAUGGGCCACCAAGGCGACGAUCAGUAGCCGGUCUGAGAGGAUGAACGGCCACACUGGGACGGAGACACGGCCCAGACUCCUACGGGAGGCAGCAGUGGGGAAUCUUCCGCAAUGGACGAAAGUCUGACGGAGCAACGCCGCGUGAGUGAAGAAGGUCUUCGGAUUGUAAAGCUCUGUCGUUUGGGACGAACGUGCUUUGUGUGAAUAAUGCAGAGUAAUGACGGUACCAAAGGAGGAAGCCACGGCUAACUACGUGCCAGCCGCCGCCGUAA